UAUAUAUAUGAGUAUAUAUAUUCUUUUAUAGGCAACCACACAUUAUAUUACUUAGGGUUUUUUAUAAUCUUGUUAGUUACUAGUCAUAUUUCCUACUAAAACCAAUCUGACAUGUUCAUCUUUUAAAACAACCCAUUUUAAAAGAGCACUCUUAGUCUCGGCUGUUUCACAAAGGCCUUGUAACUGCUCUGGAAGCACUCUGUGGCCAGCUGCAGAGCCUAGCGCUCGCCUUUCAAAGCACCUGCUCACCUAUCUGUUUAGGUUCCAGCAUCCAUGUCAGUAAAGUACCUGAAAAACAAGCAUAAGGACACCAGUUUGAUCCCCCAAGAACCCAGGUCACAAAGCUGGGCAUAGUAGAAGCACUUGGCUUUACCCUUCUGGGGAAACCAAAACAGGAAGCUUCCAGGGGUUCAGUGGCCAGCUACCAUAGCCUGCUAGAUGCAUGCUGGAUCCCAGUGAGGAGCCCUGUCUCAGAACUCAGAGUAGAGGGCUCACAAGGAUCAACAGGAGAGACUGACCUCUGGCCUCUGUGCACACACACACACACACACACACACACACACACACACACACACACA